AUGAACAAAAAUUGAAAAAAAAAAGGUGAAUGAUUGAUGAACGCACAUCCAAGAUGCAAUUUAAAAAAGUGAUUAAUUAGUACACACACAUUGAGAAAAUGUCACUGAUUGGUGAACAUUUAUCAUGGACGAAAAUAGAAAAAAAAAGUCAUUAAUUCAUAAAUACAUAAUUAGAAACGUUUAGCAAAAUGUUUCUAAACAAAUACUAAAUAAGGUCGGCCCAGGCUUAGUCUAG
rnacentral:misc_RNA from 1 species